rnacentral:snRNA from 1 species
AUUAUCUAACUUCAGUCAAAA